AUUGAACGCUGGCGGCAGGCCUAACACAUGCAAGUCGAGCGGGGUUUUCGGACCUAGCGGCGGACGGGUGAGUAAUGCGUAGGAAGCUGCCCGAUAGAGGGGACACCAGUUGGAAACGACUGUUAAUACCGCAUAAUGUCUACGGACCAAAGUGUGGGACCUUCGGGCCACAUGCUAUCGGAUGCGCCUACGUGGGAUUAGCUAGUUGGUGAGGUAAUGGCUCACCAAGGCGACGAUCUCUAGCUGGUUUGAGAGGAUGAUCAGCCACACUGGAACUGAGACACGGUCCAGACUCCUACGGGAGGCAGCAGUGGGGAAUAUUGGACAAUGGGCGCAAGCCUGAUCCAGCCAUGCCGCGUGUGUGAAGAAGGCCUUCGGGUUGUAAAGCACUUUCAGCGAGGAGGAAGGGUGGUGUGUUAAUAGCACAUCAUUUUGACGUUACUCGCAGAAGAAGCACCGGCUAACUCUGUGCCAGCCGCCGCGGUAAUAC
rnacentral:rRNA from 1 species